AGGGGUCAACAUGAAAUACUAUGCUUAUUUUUUUUAGACGGGGGCAUUUUGCACUUUUCCUGCUUUAUUUAAUUUUUUUUUCUCAUGACUAUGCACUGUCUUAUUCCCUUAGGCUUUUCAAUGCUACCUUAACUAGCUUUCAACCAACGACUCCCAAGCCAUUAAGACCUUAGGGCGCUAGGUGUAGAGACAAUCCCCUCGGGCUUACUUACUCAAGUAACAAAGGCCACAAAACUAGACAAGCACGCCAUGGUGUUUAUUUUUAUUUUUUUUUUAUAGCUUAUAUACUCCAUAUAUUUUUCCCCCAAACUUGAGUUCAUAUCUAAAUUCAGUCUUCACUAACUAUUUAACUUGCUCUUUCAUUUCACUAGCAUUCAUCCUUUAGAACUCUAUUAUCUAUCCAUUUAAACUAUCAUAGCUAACAUGGUCAUUUUGCAAAAUGUGAUUUCCUUGAAAUAUCAGUGUCAAACAGAUAGGGAUUCAAAUCAUGUCAAGAAAAUCAUAUCACUAACUCAACAAUCCUUACUAGACUUGUUCAUGCAAUUUUAAGU
rnacentral:lncRNA from 1 species